rnacentral:rRNA from 1 species
GUUGAACGCUGGCGGUAGGCUUAACACAUGCAAGUCGUGCGAGAAAGUAUCUUCGGAUAUGAGUAGAGCGGCGGACGGGUGAGUAACGCGUAGGAAUCUACCUAGUAGAAGGGGAUAGCCCGGGGAAACCCGGAUUAAUACCGUAUACCUCCUUCGGGAGAAAGAAGGCCUCUCUUUGAAGCUUUCGCUAUUAGAUGAGCCUGCGUAAGAUUAGCUUGUUGGUGAGGUAAAGGCUCACCAAGGCGACGAUCUUUAGCUGGUCUGAGAGGACGAUCAGCCACAUUGGGACUGAGACACGGCCCAGACUCCUACGGGAGGCAGCAGUGGGGAAUAUUGGACAAUGGGCGCAAGCCUGAUCCAGCCAUACCGCGUGUGUGAAGAAGGCCUUCGGGUUGUAAAGCACUUUAAGCAGGGAGAAAAAGUUAUAAGUUAAUACCUUAUAACCCUGAUGUUACCUGCAGAAUAAGCACCGGCUAAUUCCGUGCCAGCAGCCGCGGUAAUACGGAAGGUGCAAGCGUUAAUCGGAAUUACUGGGCGUAAAGCGCGCGUAGGUGGUUUGUUAAGUUGGAUGUGAAAGCCCUGGGCUCAACCUAGGAACUGCAUCCAAAACUAACUCACUAGAGUACGAUAGAGGGAGGUAGAAUUCAUAGUGUAGCGGUGGAAUGCGUAGAUAUUAUGAAGAAUACCAGUGGCGAAGGCGGCCUCCUGGAUCUGUACUGACACUGAGGUGCGAAAGCGUGGGUAGCGAACAGGAUUAGAUACCCUGGUAGUCCACGCCGUAAACGAUGACAACUAGCUGUUGGGAGACUAUGUCUUUCAGUGGCGCAGCUAACGCUUUAAGUUGUCCGCCUGGGGAGUACGGCCGCAAGGCUAAAACUCAAAUGAAUUGACGGGGACCCGCACAAGCGGUGGAGCAUGUGGUUUAAUUCGAUGCAACGCGAAAAACCUUACCUACUCUUGACAUACUUGGAGGCUCUUGUAAUGAGAGUGUGCCUUUUGGAACCAAGAUACAGGUGCUGCAUGGCUGUCGUCAGCUCGUGUCGUGAGAUGUUCCGUUAAGUCGGGUAACGAGCGCAACCCUUACCCUUAUUUGCCAGCGAUUCGGUCGGGAACUAUAAGGGGACUGCCGGUGAUAAACCGGAGGAAGGUGAGGACGACGUCAAGUCAUCAUGGCCCUUACGAGUAGGGCUACACACGUGCUACAAUGGGAGAUACAGACGGACGCUAAGCCGCGAGGUGGUGCUAAUCCUAAAAAGUCUUUCGUAGUCCGGAUUGGAGUCUGCAACUCGACUCCAUGAAGUCGGAAUCGCUAGUAAUCGCGGAUCAGCAUGCCGCGGUGAAUACGUUCUCGGGUCU